rnacentral:rRNA from 1 species
GUGGAAAAGGAUGUGGGGUUGCACAGACAACUAGGAUGUUAGCUUAGAAGCAGCUAUUCAUUCAAAGAGUGCGUAAUAGCUCACUAGUCGAGUGACCCUGCGCCGAAAAUGUACCGGGGCUAAAACAGUUUACCGAAGCUGUGGAUGACACAAAAGUGUCAUGGUAGGAGAGCGUUCUAUGUGUGAAGAAGGUGUACCGUGAGGAGCGCUGGAACGCAUAGAAGUGAGAAUGCCGGUAUGAGUAGCGCAAGACAGGUGAGAAUCCUGUCCACCGUAAGACUAAGGUUUCCAGGGGAAGGCUCGUCCGCCCUGGGUUAGUCGGGACCUAAGGAGAGACCGAAAGGUGUAUCCGAUGGCCAACAGGUUGAUAUUCCUGUACUAGAGUAUAUAGUGAUGGAGGGACGCAGUAGGCUAACUAAACCGGACGAUUGGAAGAGUCCGGCUAAGCAGUGAGGUGUAAGAUGAGUCAAAUGCUUAUCUUUAUAACAUUGAGCUGUGAUGGGGAGCGAAUUUUAGUAGCGAAGUUAGUGAUGUCACACUGCCAAGAAAAGCUUCUAGCGUUUAAUGAUACUCUACCCGUACCGCAAACCGACACAGGUAGUCGAGGCGAGUAGCCUCAGGUGAUCGAGAGAACUCUCGUUAAGGAACUCGGCAAAAUGACCCCGUAACUUCGGGAGAAGGGGUGCUGACUUAGGUCAGCCGCAGUGAAUAGGCCCAAGCAACUGUUUAUCAAAAACACAGCUCUCUGCUAAAUCGUAAGAUGAUGUAUAGGGGGUGACGCCUGCCCGGUGCUGGAAGGUUAAGAGGAGGGUUUAGCGCAAGCGAAGAUCUGAAUUGAAGCCCCAGUAAACGGCGGCCGUAACUAUAACGGUCCUAAGGUAGCGAAAUUCCUUGUCGGGUAAGUUCCGACCCGCACGAAAGGCGUAAUGAUUUGGGCACUGUCUCAACGAGAGACUCGGUGAAAUUUUAGUACCUGUGAAGAUGCAGGUUACCCGCGACAGGACGGAAAGACCCCAUGGAGCUUUACUGCAGUUUGAUAUUGAGUAUCUGUACCACAUGUACAGGAUAGGUAGGAGCCAUUGACUUCGGGACGCCAGUUUCGAAUGAGGCGUUGUUGGGAUACUACCCUUGUGUUAUGG